GUGUUUAUAGAAAUGUGUGGAGGGAUGUCUUAAAAACUGUACAGACCUAGGCUGUGUAAGAUGCUGGACAUGGUGGACAACUGAUGUGAGUGCAAGGGGCUGAGAACUUGCUCUGGAAUGGAAGAGGCUAGCAGUAGUAGGAAGAGUGUGUCAGGUGAUAGGAAAAGGAUUGCCAUGCAAAAUGCUUCUCUCCCUGAAUUCACUUCAAGAUUUGGAGACAUUUUAGCAUCCAGGUCAAGGUCACAUGGAUAGCUGACAACUUCCCUGCAAGCUGCAGCCUCCUGAGAGGCACCAUGGAAAACAGGCUCCAUGCAACCAGGGCUCUGCAAAAUGGGUGCUUGGGCACUCGUCCAGAGGGAUGGAAGGAAGAAUGAAGGUUUAUGUGGUUCUCCCAGUACAGCAAAAGGGGAUUCCCAUGCAGUAGGUGGGCAUCCUACUCACUGGGCUGUGGCAUACAGGUAGCAUCCAGUUCUUGCUUCUCUAUCCUACCCACACAUCCAAAACUGUCUCCAACCAUAGUCCCUUUCCCUCUGAGUUAUCAUUGUAUUUCCCAGUAAAAGAAGGCUUCAUGUAGUCCCAGCAUAACUAUGACUGAAAAAAAGGUUUUACUUGGUCUGCUUUUUAAAAGCUUAAUUGGUUUUCUGAAACACACAGCAAGCCAAAAGAAAACCUCAGGAUUUUUCAAGCAUUUUUAAGCUUGUGGUUAAUUUCCCCUGGUUUCUAAAGGUACUCUCUGCAAUACUUGGAUGUAAACUCAUGCCCAAGUGCUUCAUUGAAUGAAUUCCCCCUGUUCUCUGAACACAGGGAGAAAACCAUGGCAGCAUGGUUUUGUGGAGAAUCAGGGAUCUCCUCCUGGGCUUCAGCUGGAGCAGCCAUUCAGAGCUCUGCUUCCAAACCCAGACAAAUCUCCCGAAGUUGUUCUGACAUGUAUUGUAAGAGUAAAUAAAUAAUCACAUGGCACUUUAUUCCACCACCAGAACCCUCUUAGCAUGGGAUACCAGUGGAGCUGGAUGAAGCCAAUUCUAAUUACAGAUAAAAGGUUUGAUGCAUGAAAAGAAGCUGGUAUUUACACCCAAUUAUCUGAGGGAGGAGAG